rnacentral:rRNA from 1 species
CCCGUCUUGAAACACGGACCAAGGAGUUUAUUGUAUGUGCGAGUCAUUAAGUGAUCAAAACUUAUUGGCGUAAUGAAAGUAAAGUAUUCUUUAUCGAAUAUGAUAUAUGAUUGUUUUUUGUUUACAAAAGACAAGUAGUAUAGUCCCAUCUAAUUUGCUUGCAAAUGGGUGGAGAUAGAGCAUAUGCAAUGAGACCCGAAAGAUGGUGAACUAUGCCUGAGCAGGAUGAAGUCAGAGGAAACUCUGAUGGAAGUCCGAAGCGGUUCUGACGUGCAAAUCGAUCGUCUGACUUGGGUAUAGGGGCGAAAGACUAAUCGAACCAUC